CCUUCAGACGAAAUCCUUGGGACAGGCAAAACCAGGGGCAGGAUGUGAGAAACAGCCUCAGUCAUAGGCAACAGGGAAAAUGAUUAAUCUUGAACAAGGCAUUGACUGUGCAACUCCUCCACAAGAUAAAGAAUCAACAGGAAAGCCUAACAUGACUUUCCAGUAACUGCCAAGUGUCCGAGAUGCAACAGCCCUGGUUGAGGCUUUGAAAGACAGUGAGCUGUGCCCCUGCUCCAUGCAGCUGUCUGGACAGCUUCCAAUCUGAGAGCUCUGUGUUCAUUUCUACCUUUGUGCUGAUUUAAUUUACAACCUGGGGCAAAUCUCCUGAGCUCAUUUCCUUGUCUAUUAAAUACAAGGUGUCUGAGACGUCUCCCAUGGAUUUGAGAAGGCUGUUGGGAAAACUACAGAGCAAACUUCUUUACUCUGCCUACAGCAAGCUCUGCAGGAUGGAUUUCAGUGUUCAGCGUCCCUGGACAUCUGCCUCUAAAACAAAUCUGCACCACAACAGAGGUGGCAUCAGUCAACACAAAGGGCUCAGGUUGGGGUGAAACUCUCCACUCCUGCUUUCAUACCAUUUGAAGUUCAGACCAGUGAGAUUUCCAUCAGUUGGGAGUUGAAGAUGCCACAAGGACAAGAACUGAGGAUGGUUUGCUCAGAGCUGAUUUUUAGACACCAUUUUCCAGGGAUCCCUGGUGACAGAGGAGCAUUUUUUUUGUGGUUGAGUUCUGAAUUAAAAAGUGUCGUACUAUA
rnacentral:lncRNA from 1 species